AUUGAACUGAAGAGUUUGAUCCUGGCUCAGAUUGAACGCUGGCGGCAUGCUUUACACAUGCAAGUCGAACGGUAACAGGGUGC
rnacentral:rRNA from 1 species